CCAGACUCCUACGGGAGGCAGCAGUGGGGAAUAUUGCACAAUGGGGGAAACCCUGAUGCAGCGACGCCGCGUGAGCGAUGAAGUAUUUCGGUGCGUAAAGCCCUAUCGGCAGGGAAGAAAAGCGAACAGGUUCGCCUGGACGGUACCUGACUAAGAAGCCCCGGCUAAAUACGUGCCAGCAGCCGCGGUAAUACGUAGGGGGCAAGCGUUAUCCGGAUUUACUGGGUGUAAAGGGAGCGUAGACGGCGAUGCAAGUCUGAAGUGAAAGGCGGGGGCCCAACCCCCGGACUGCUUUGGAAACUGUAUGGCUGGAGUGCAGGAGAGGUAAGUGGAAUUCCUAGUGUAGCGGUGAAAUGCGUAGAUAUUAGGAGGAACACCAGUGGCGAAGGCGGCUUACUGGACUGUAACUGACAUUGAGGCUCGAAAGCGUGGGGAGCAAACAGGAUUAGAUACCCUGGUA
rnacentral:rRNA from 1 species